UCGUACACGUGGGCCACCUACCCUUCAGACGCGGACACCCUCGGGAAACUGAGGCUAAUCCGCGAUAGCACUCCCAGCCUGGAAUGGCGCGAGUGUCAAACGCUCCGGCGCUGAAGGAUGGGGCUGCGGCCGAUUAGGUAGACGGUGGGGUAACGGCCCACCGUGCCAAUAAUCGGUACGGGUUGUGAGAGCAAGAACCCGGAGCCGGAAUCUGAGACAACAUUCCGGGCCCUACGGGGCGCAGCAGGCGCGAAACCUUUACACUGCACGCCAGUGCGAUAAGGGGACUCCAAGUGCGAGGGCAUAUCGCCCUCGCUUUUCUGUACCGUAGGAUGGUACAGGAACAAGCGCUGGGCAAGACCGGUGCCAGCCGCCGCGGUAAUACCGGCAGCGCAAGUGAUGGCCGAUUUUAUUGGGCCUAAAGCGUCCGUAGCUGGCCAGGCAAGUCCAUCGGGAAAUCCACCCGCUCAACGGGUGGACGGCCGGUGGAAACUGCCCGGCUCGGGACCGGAAGACCCAACGGGUACGUUCAGGGUAGGAGUGAAAUCCCGUAAUCCUGAACGGACCGCCGAUGGCGAAAGCACGUUGGGAAGACGGAUCCGACAGUGAGGGACGAAAGCUAGGGUCUCGAACCGGAUUAGAUACCCGGGUAGUCCUAGCCGUAAACGAUGCCCGCUAGGUGUGGCACAGGCUACGCGCCUGUGCUGUGC
rnacentral:rRNA from 1 species